rnacentral:rRNA from 1 species
AGGGAUUGCCUCAGUAACGGCGAGUGAAGCGGCAACAGCUCAAAUUUGAAAUCUGGCUCUCUUUGGGGGUCCGAGUUGUAAUUUGAAGAGGGUGCUUUGGCGUCGACGGCGGUCUAAGUCCCUUGGAACAGGGCAUCGCAGAGGGUGAGAAUCCCGUAUGUGGCCGCAAGCCUUCGCCGUGUAAAGCCCCUUCGACGAGUCGAGUUGUUUGGGAAUGCAGCUCUAAAUGGGAGGUAAAUAUCUUCUAAAGCUAAAUACCGGCCAGAGACCGAUAGCGCACAAGUAGAGUGAUCGAAAGAUGAAAAGCACUUUGGAAAGAGAGUCAAACAGCACGUGAAAUUGUUGAAAGGGAAGCGCUUGCAGCCAGACUUGCUCGCAGUUGCUCAUCCGGGCUCUCGCCCGGUGCACUCUUCUGCGGGCAGGCCAGCAUCAGUUUGGGCAGCCGGAUAAAGACCUCUGUCACGUAUCUUCCUUCGGGAUGACCUUAUAGGGGAGGUGCAAUGCGGUUAGCCCGGACUGAGGUCCGCGCAUCUGCUAGGAUGCUGGCGUAAUGGCUGUAAGCGGCCCGUCUUGAAACACGGACCAAGGAGUCUAACAUCUAUGCGAGUGUUUGGGUGUCAAGCCCGGGCGCGCAAUGAAAGUGAACGGAGGUGGGAGCCCUCUCGGGGGUGCACCAUCGACCGAUCCUGAUGUCUUCGGAUGGAUUUGAGUAAGAGCAUAGCUGUUGGGACCCGAAAGAUGGUGAACUAUGCUUGAAUAGGGUGAAGCCAGAGGAAACUCUGGUGGAGGCUCGCAGCGGUUCUGACGUGCAAAUCGAUCGUCAAAUUUGGGCAUAGGGGCGAAAGACUAAUCGA